UUGAUAUCGCAAAAAGAAAGGUUGGCAUUGAUGAAUUCUUGGCUCAUAAAAAAUCAAAAAAACUACGAAAUUUCGAAUAAUAAAUCAGUCUCAGCGAUAUAUAUUAUUUCACAAUUACGAAUCAUUGAAGAAGAUUUCACGGCCGAACAAGACAGCCGAUAGCGCUCAAUACAGAGGUCAGAUCGCUACAUACACUCACAUGGAAAUCAGCAUAAUCAUAAAAAAAGAAGAGCGUAUUACGCAUUGACCGCAAGCACGCGCAGACUCCUUUCGCGUGGGAUAAAUAUAAAAGUCUUGAGUGAUAUCACGACUAUUUAGUAUGCUAGCAACCGUUUAACGUUUGAGACAUAAUCUGCCGUGUAAAUUGAAGUGCAACUGCAAAAAUGAAGCUGCUCGUGUUUUUCCUUCUUGUCGUUGCUGUCUCGCUGUGCGCUGCUGAUUCUUUCCUGCCCAAUGGCGUCAUUCCCGGAUGCAACGGCGCUCAAAAAACACUUUGCACCGUCAAGUGUUUGUCGGACAAUUACUUGUGUAGAAAAUCCGAUGCAAGUUUGGGCUACUCAUGCAUAUGUUUGAAUUAACUUCAAUUAUCUUGUCGAGUUCACUGAAUCACGAUUACAUUUCGACUUAACGGAAAACGGAUUACGAAACUGGCUUUUAUUAUAACAGUGUUAGCAGACAAUUAUGCUUAUUUUUAUUUUAUUUCAUUUUGUUGUGGUUGAAAGAUUUUAAAUGAUGUUUAAUUUAUUUAUCGUACAACUGUACUGUACAGAUUCUAAUAAAAUGUGAGCACGAAAUAACUGAGUGAUUGUUAUUACGGUUUUAACUUUCUAUCAAUAAGAUUAUUUAACAAGAAUGUCAAAUCCUUGAUAAAUAGAUCUUACUUUUAAAAAAAUUUAAUUUGUAUAUUUUUAGUUUUUAAAAUUACACAAAAUUGAUAUGUUCUUAUUCCAUUUCAUCUAUAACAACGACUGCAUUUGUUUUACAUAUAAAGGAUUUUUUCAACAGCUUUUAACGCAAUAAGUAUGAUUAAUGUAUUUAUGGGAACGGGGUCAUCGAUUAAGAAGUGAAUGCGUUAUCUGUAAAAGAUAUGUUCUGCAUAUUGGGAAGUCUCUUAUUUGUAAAUAUUAAUUUAUCAAGGCAAUAAAUCAUUUGCUACCAA